CAAAUAUAUAUUCAAAUGCCGCAGACAGCAGGUGCAUACGCUUAAACAUGCCUGCCGAGGAAGAUAGUUUUGAUACUAGAUAUUGAAAUUAUAGCCCUUGUAUGUCUGUGUGCAUGCAAGGGCUUUUAUAAUUAAAA
rfam:Peptoclostridium acidaminophilum DSM 3953 chromosome, complete genome.